GAGCUUCAGCAGCAAAUAUACUAAAAUUGGAACAAUAUGGAGAAAAUUAGCAUGGCCCCUGUCGAAGAAUGACAUGCAAAUUUGUGAAAUGUUCCAUUUUUCA
rnacentral:snRNA from 1 species